UACGUAGGGGGCAAGCGUUGUCCGGAUUUAUUGGGCGUAAAGAGCGUGUAGGCGGCCAGGUAGGUCUGCUGUGAAAACUCGGGGCUUAACCCCGGGCCUGCAGUGGGUACGGGCAGACUAGAGUGCGGUAGGGGAGACUGGAAUCCUGGUGUAGCGGUGAAAUGCGCAGAUAUCAGGAGGAACACCGGUGGCGAAGGCGGGUCUCUGGGCCGUAACUGACGCUGAGGAGCGAAAGCAUGGGAGCGAACGG
rnacentral:rRNA from 1 species